UAUUAUCCAGUAGAUUUGGUGCUGUGU
rnacentral:piRNA from 1 species